ACAGCCCUACACCCCCCCCACACCACUUCCCAUCUCCAUCACCCCUCCCUCCCUAACACCCAUCCCUGGCACCCAGUUCCCCCCUCACAGCCGCCCACGUCACCCUCCUACAGCUGUUCUCGGCACCCACUCUUUCCCCGUCUGUCAAACCCCCUACACCUGUCCCGUCUCUGUCACCCCUCCCCUAUGCCCUCUCAUUUCCACCCUCUCCCUGUCCUCCACCCCUCCUUGUCUCCAUUACCCCUCCUUCUCUAUCUCCACCUCUCAUCUGUAAACUUCCUCCCUCCCCAUCUGCGUCACUCCCUCCCCAUCGCCGUUACACUUACAAUAUGUCACCAAGAUUCAUCUUAUUGUGGCCAUACUCAACAAAUCCAGUAACUACGAUAGAAUUGGUGAAAGACCACAUACACCAACAAGACGAACAACCGUUGCACAAGGGACAACAAACUUCGCAAAUACAGAAAGAAAAGAAAUAAUAAAAAAUAAAUAAGCAUUAAUUAAAGAGAAUAUGAGAUGAAGAGUCCUUGAAAGCGAGUUCCUUGGCUGUGGGAACGGUUCAGUGAUGGGGCAAGUGCCUGAUGGUUGAGGGUAAUAACUGUUCCUGAACCUGGUGGUGUGGGUCCUGAGGCUCCUGAACUGCACACUCCAGCUGGGCCUGACUGACUUUAUAAAGAUGCAGCAAAACUUCCCAAUUCUUCAACGCAGCGCCUCGACUAAUAAAGGCAAAUAUGCCCCGUCAACCAGUGCGGCCACUUUCAGGGAGCUGUGAAAAUGCACCCCAGAAUCCUGCUGGAAGGGCAAUGGUUUAAAGAGGUAACUUUAAACUUUUAACUCUAAAGGUUUAAAAAGGUAGCAAACUUUUUCACCAGAAGGUGGUCCAUCUAUGGACGAAGCUUCCAGAGGAAACACGUUCGGCCAGGUAGGUGAAUGGGAAAUGUCGAGAGGGAUAUGGGCCAAAGACAGGCAGACAGGAAUCUGGACCGAGGAGCUUGUCUCCAUGCUGUAUGACUCUGUCACUCUAGUUAUCAGUUUGCUGGUUACUGUCCUUGCUCUCGUCAUCUGAACUUGACACUGUCGCCCCGUUUACAUAAGACUGUCAUGGGACCUGACGGGGUAACAGCACGCUGGUUUCCUGGUCUGACCCUGAGUCUGUUUCCAAUAUCCACAGCAUCUCAGUACCAGGGCAGCUGCCCUCAAUCCCCACCUGCCUGAAGCCUCAUGGACCCUUCCACUGAGGCCUUCUCCCGCACCUCCACCAACUUCGGAGUCUCCCAAACCAAACGCUGGAGGAACUGAGCGGUCAGGCAGCAUUUGCAGAGCAGAAUGAUCUGAUGAUGAAGGGUCUCAGCUCAAAUCGUCAACUGUUUAUUCCCUCCAUAACGCUGCCCGACUUGCUGAGUUCCUCCAGCAUUUUGUGUGUGCUGCUCUGGAUUUCCAGCAUCUGCAGAAUCUCCUGUGCCUCUGACACAUCCCUGAAGACUCAUCCUCUCAAAGUCGGGAUACGGAAAAGAUUCACAAGGGUAACACUGCAACUGGUGCAGUGGACAGUGGAGAGGCCUGUCUCACUGUCUCGAGGCCUUGGUCAAGCUGGCUAAGUGGCCAAGGAAUGGCAAAUGGAGUUUAAUUGGGAUAAGUACAAUGUGUUGUUUCAGGAAGGCAAAUGUUCAGGGUGAACGGCAGAGCCCCGGGGAGUGUUUUACAACAGAGGGAUCUUGCAGUACAGGUACCUGGUGCCCAGAAAGUGGCAUCACAGAUAGACAGGAGGGUGAAGAAGGUGUCUGACACAGCCAGGGUUCAGAGUACAGGAGCUGGGACGUUAUGUUGCAGUUGUACAAGACGUUGCUGAGACCACGCUUGGGGUGUUGUGUUUAGUUCUGGUCAGAAAGGGUGUGAUUCAGCUGGAAAGGGUUAAUCAGGAAAGAUUCACUGGGACUGGAGCGCUCGAGUUAAGGUGGGGCUGGGCAGGCUGGGACUGUUUUCCCUGGAGCCAAGGGGGCUGAGGGUGACCUGACAGAGGUUUAUAACACCAAGAGGGGUGUAGGCAAGGUGGAUGGUCGGUCUUUUCCUAUGGUAGAAAGUCUAGAUCAGGAGAUUUAAUGUCAGAGGGCAGCGAAGGGGCAACAUUUUCACUCAGAGGGUGGUCUACACAUGGAACGAGCUGCCAGAGAAAGUGGUUUAGGCAGGUACAUCAUCAACAUUUAAAAAUCACUCUGUUAAGUACCUGGAUGAGAAAGGUUUAGAGAGUUAGAGACCAAACACAGGCUAAUAUGACCAACUCGGGAAAGCAUCUAGUUUUCAAGAACUAGAUGGGCCAAAUGGCCAGUUUCUGUGCUGUAUAAAUCCCUGAAUCUCUGACCCAACAGCCUUCCCCAGUCUGUCAGGGAUCCUCUCUGCCAAGGCCCCUCCCUGCACACUCUCCCCGUGGCCGUCCGCCACCAGCUCCCCGCUUCCCUUUUACACUUCUCCUUCUGAAUUUCCUGUUUUCAGCCCUGCUUCGCAAUCCCCUUAACAGUUUGAUCUUUCCGGCCUGCUGUUUCUCCUUCUCUUGUCCCCCUCCUCUCAUCUCAAAAAGUCGAUCGUAUACGCCCUCACCUCCUCCUGGGAACACAGCCUGUACACCACCACUUUUUAUGCAGCUCCCCCAGGUAACAUCCAUUCCCAGAUCCUCCCCUUGUGGUGUUCCACCCCCCCCCCCCCCCAUGUCACACAGCUUAGAACCAGGCCCUUUGGCCCAAUCAGGCCACAUUAACCCAGAUCCCCACCCGGACUCCUGUGAAAGUGGUUAUAUUGUGAUCGCUGGUCACCCCAAAUCUCCCCCAACCAGCAUGUGCUCCACUUGGCUGGGCUCCUCUCCCAGAACCAGGCCCAGCAACCCCACUUUCCUUGCUGCGUCAGAACCGAGGGUAGCAUGCUUUAGUAACACCAGCUCCUCCUGGACACCCCAGUGCCUAAUCGAAAAUCUGCAUCCUCCACUACAUGGGUUCUGGACUUCUCUAAGAUGUCUGCUUUCUCUCACCAGCAGUGAUAUUCUCCCAGUAAAUCCAAACGUCUGGUAGAAUUUAUAACCCGGUGUAAUAAACCUCCAAUAUCCUGUCAGGUCCACAGGUCAACAUCCUGGACAACAGGACAAUACCCCACCAGAAACUGGACGUUACCCCACCUAACAUCCAGACACACACUUUAAUAGUCCGAGCUCUCUAGCACAGAACCAGAUUCUAACAUCCGGACACACAUAGAGCCCAACCACAAACACAGAAACAGGCCCUAACAUCAGAUGCAGAGCCCAACCACACAGAAACAGGCCCUAACAACGGACGUAGAGCCCUACCACACAGAAACAGGCCCUAACAUCGGACACAGAGCCCUACCACACAGAAACAGGCCCAAACAUCGGACACAGAGGUCUAACUCACAGAAACAAGCCCUAACAUCAGAUGCAGAGCCCAAUCACACAGAAACAUGCCCUAACAUCGUACGCAAAGGUCGAACACACAGAAACAGGCCCUAACAUCGGACACAGAGCCCUACCACACAGAAACAGGCUCUAACAACGGACGUAGAGCCCUACCACACAGAAACAGGCCCUAACAACGGACACAGAGCCCUACCACACAGAAACAGGCCCUAACAACGGACACAGAGGUCUAACUCACAGAAACAGGCCCUAACAACAGACACAGAGCCCUACCACACAGAAACAGGCCCUAACAUCGGACACAGAGGUCUAACUCACAGAAACAAGCCCUAACAUCAGAUGCAGAGCCCAAUCACACAGAAACAUGCCCUAACAUCGUACGCAAAGGUCUAACACACAGAAACAGGCCCUAACAUCGGACGCAGAGGUCUAACUCACAGAAACAGGCCCUAACAUCGGACACAGAGGUCUAACUCACAGAAACAAGCCCUAACAUCAGAUGCAGAGCCCAAUCACACAGAAACAGGCCCUAACAUCGUACGCAAAGGUCUAACUCACAGAAACAGGCCCUAACAUCGGACGCAGAGGUCUAACACACAGAAACAGGCCCUAACAUCGGACACAGAGCCCAAUCACACAAAAACAGGCCCUAACAUCAAAUGCAGAGCCCAAUCACACAGAAACAGGCCCUAACAUCGUACGCAGAGCCCAAUCACACAGAAACAGGCCCUAACAUCGGACGCAGAGGUCUAACUCACAGAAACAGGCCCUAACAUCGGACGCAGAAGUCUAACACACAGAAACAGGCCCUAACAUCGGACGCAGAGGUCUAACACACAGAAACAGGCCCUAACAUCAGAUGCAGAGCCCAAUCACACAGAAACAGGCCCUAACAUCGGACGCAGAGGUCUAACACACAGAAACAGGCCCUAAUAUCGGACGCAGAGGUCUAACUCACAGAAACAGGCCCUAAUAUCGAACGCAGAAGUCUAACACACAGAAACAGGCCCUAACAUUGGACGCACACUUCUA